GGCGCGGUGGCGGAACUGGCAGACGCGCAGGUCUCAAAAACCUGUGAUAGACAACUAUCAUGUGGGUUCGACUCCCUCCCGCGCCACAA
rnacentral:tRNA from 1 species